rnacentral:rRNA from 1 species
UCUGCCCUGCACUCUGGGAUAGCCACCGGAAACGGUGAUUAAUACCGGAUAUGACAAUCUUGCGCAUGUGGGGUUGUGGAAAGUUUUUUCGGUGCGGGAUGUGCUCGCGGCCUAUCAGCUUGUUGGUGGGGUAAUGGCCUACCAAGGCUUCGACGGGUAGCCGGCCUGAGAGGGUGACCGGCCACACUGGGACUGAGACACGGCCCAGACUCCUACGGGAGGCAGCAGUGGGGAAUAUUGGACAAUGGGCGAAAGCCUGAUCCAGCAACGCCGCGUGAGGGAUGACGGCCUUCGGGUUGUAAACCUCUUUCAGCACAGACGAAGUUCUAUCUUUUUGGGUGGAGUGACGGUAUGUGCAGAAGAAGGACCGGCCAACUACGUGCCAGCAGCCGCGGUAAUACGUAGGGUCCGAGCGUUGUCCGGAAUUAUUGGGCGUAAAGGGCUCGUAGGCGGUUUGUUGCGUCGGGAGUGAAAACCCAGGGCUUAACCCUGGGCCUGCUUUCGAUACGGGCAGACUAGAGGCAUUCAGGGGAGAACGGAAUUCCUGGUGUAGCGGUGAAAUGCGCAGAUAUCAGGAGGAACACCGGUGGCGAAGGCGGUUCUCUGGGAAUGUUCUGACGCUGA